AGGGUUUGAUCAUGGCUCAGAACGUACGCUGGCGGCACGCCUAACACAUGCAAGUCGAACGAAGUAGCAAUACUUAGUGGCAGACGGGUGAGUAACAUGUGGGUAUCUGCCCUUUGGCCUGGAAUAACACGAGGAAACUUGUGCUAAUACCGGAUAAGUCUUUACAGAGAAAGCUUUAUGCACCAUUGGAUGAGCCCGCACUUGAUUAGUUUGUUGGUGGGGUAAUGGCCUACCAAGACUUUGAUCAAUAGCUGAUUUGAGAGGAUGAUCAGCCACAUUGGGACUGAGACACGGCCCAAACUCCUACGGGAGGCAGCAGUGGGGAAUCUUGCACAAUGGAGGAAACUCUGAUGCAGCGAUGCCGCGUGAGUGAAGAAGGCCCUUGGGUUGUAAAGCUCUUUCGUCGGGGAAGAAAAUGACUGUACCCGAAUAAGAAGGUCCGGCUAACUUCGUGCCAGCAGCCGCGGUAAUACGAAGGGACCUAGCGUAGUUCGGAAUUACUGGGCUUAAAGAGUUCGUAGGUGGUUGAAAAAGUUGGUGGUGAAAUCCCAGAGCUUAACUCUGGAACUGCCAUCAAAACUUUUCAGCUAGAGUUUGAUAGAGGAAAGCAGAAUUUCUAGUGUAGAGGUGAAAUUCGUAGAUAUUAGAAAGAAUACCAAUUGCGAAGGCAGCUUUCUGGAUCAUUACUGACACUGAGGAACGAAAGCAUGGGUAGCGAAGAGGAUUAGAUACCCUCGUAGUCCAUGCCGUAAACGAUGUGUGUUAGACGUUGGAAAUUUAUUUUCAGUGUCGCAGCGAAAGCGAUAAACACACCGCCUGGGGAGUACGACCGCAAGGUUAAAACUCAAAUGAAUUGACGGGGACCCGCACAAGUAGUGGAGCAUGUGGUUUAAUUCGAAGAUACGCGCAGAACCUUACCAACACUUGACAUGUUCGUCGCGACUUUAAGAGAUUAAAGUUUUCGGUUCGGCCGGACGAAACACAGGUGCUGCAUGGCUGUCGUCAGCUCGUGUCGUGAGAUGUUGGGUUAAGUCCCGCAACGAGCGCAACCCUCACUUUUAGUUGCCAUCAUUUAGUUGGGCACUCUGAAAGAACUGCCAGUGAUAAGCUGGAGGAAGGUGGGGAUGACGUCAAGUCCUCAUGGCCCUUACGUGUUGGGCUACACACGUGCUACAAUGGUAUCUACAACAGGAAGCAAAACAGCGAUGUUAAGCAAAUCCUUAAAAGAUACCUCAGUUCGGAUUGCACUCUGCAACUCGAGUGCAUGAAGCUGGAAUUACUAGUAAUCGUGGAUCAGCGUGCCACGGUGAAUGCGUUCCCGGGUCUUGUACACACCGCCCGUCACACCAUGGGAGUUGGUUCUACCUUAAGGCAAGGUUUAAUACCCUUGACCACGGUAUAGUCAGCGACUGGGGUGAAGUCAUAACAAGGUAGCCGUA
rnacentral:rRNA from 1 species